rnacentral:rRNA from 1 species
GAUUAACGCUAGCGGCAGGCCUAAUACAUGCAAGUCGAACGGUAACAGGGGUAACAAUACCCGCUGAUGAGUGGCGCACGGGUGCGUAACACGUAUGUAAUCUUCCCACAACUGGGGGAUAGCCCGGAGAAAUCCGGAUUAAUACCCCAUAACCCAGCGAGGUGGCAUCACCUUUCUGGCAAAUCUCCGGAGGUUGUGGAUGAACAUGCGUCCGAUUAGCUAGUUGGCGGGGUAACGGCCCACCAAGGCUACGAUCGGUAGGGGUACUGAGAGGUUAAACCCCCACACUGGUACUGAGACACGGACCAGACUCCUACGGGAGGCAGCAGUAAGGAAUAUUGGACAAUGGAGGCAACUCUGAUCCAGCCAUGCCGCGUGAAGGAUGAAGGCGCUAUGCGUUGUAAACUUCUUUUGAACGGGAAAAAACCCCUUUACGUGUAAAGGGUUGAUUGUACCGUUAGAAUAAGGGUCGGCUAACUUCGUGCCAGCAGCCGCGGUAAGAC